rnacentral:rRNA from 1 species
GCAUAUCAAUAAGCGGAGGAAAAAGAAACCCAACAGGGAUUGCCUCAGUAACGGCGAGUGAAGCGGCAACAGCUCAAAUUUGAAAUCUGGCUCUUUCAGAGUCCGAGUUGUAAUUUGUAGAGGGUGCUUUGGCGUUGGCCGUGGUCUAAGUUCCUUGGAACAGGACGUCACAGAGGGUGAGAAUCCCGUACGUGGCCGCCGGUCUUCGCCGUGUAAAGCCCCUUCGACGAGUCGAGUUGUUUGGGAAUGCAGCUCUAAAUGGGAGAUAAAUUUCUUCUAAAGCUAAAUAUUGGCCAGAGACCGAUAGCGCACAAGUAGAGUGAUCGAAAGAUGAAAAGCACUUUGGAAAGAGAGUCAAAAAGCACGUGAAAUUGUUGAAAGGGAAGCGCUUGCAGCCAGACGUGCCCGCAGUUGCUCACCUGGGCUCUCGCCCGGGGCAUUCUUCUGCGGGCAGGCCAGCAUCAGUUCGGGCGGUUGGAUAAAGGCCUCUAUCACGUACCAUCCUUCGGGAUGUCCUUAUAGGGGAGGCGCAACACGACCAGCCUGAACUGAGGACCGCGCAUUUGCUAGGAUGCUGGCGUAAUGGCUGUAAGCGGCCCGUCUUGAAACACGGACCAAGGAGUCUAACAUCUAUGCGAGUGUUUGGGUGUAAAGCCCGGACGCGCAAUGAAAGUGAACGGAGGUGGGAACCCCCUCGGGGUGCACCAUCGACCGAUCCUGAAGUCUUCGGAUGGAUUUGAGUAAGAGCAUAGCUGUUGGGACCCGAAAGAUGGUGAACUAUGCCUGAAUAGGGGUGAAGCCAGGGGAAACCCUGGUGGAGGCUCGCAGCGGUUCUGACGUGCAAAUCGAUCGUCAAAUUUGAGCCAUAGGGGCGAAAGACUAAUCGGAACCAUCCUAGUAGCUGGGUUCCUGCCGAAGUUUCCCC